UGAUGUGAGGGCAAUCUGGCUGCAACAUGUGUCCCCCCACUGAUUGCCAAGGUUGAUUCAGCUGAUCUGGCUGGCUAGGCCAGUGUCCCCUUCCUCCCUCAGCACUCCAUGUGCAUCCCUCCCGAAGAUACAUGCUUGGUCAAAAAGGAAAACCUUCCCCGAUAGAGGAAGACUGUUAUUGAUCAAGGGUAUAUGAGUAGCUGUACCUCCCUGCUAGAACCUCCAAACAAGCUCUCAAGCUCCAAACAAGUGUGAUGGCUCAUGCCUGUAAUCCCAGCUCUUUGGUAGGCCAAGGAAAGAGGAUCCCUUGAGACUAUGAAUUUGAGACCAGCCUGGGCAA
rnacentral:snRNA from 1 species